ACGUUUUUUUUAAUUUAAUUUUAAAGAUUUAAAAUUAUUUCAGUAACGAGAAUACAAAGGAACGAAACUGAACAGUUUUCUUUCAUUUCUUGUUUCAGGGCAGAUUCGUCCAAUUAAGCCCAAAUGGUUAAAAGCUGGUUGGCCCAAUCCACUUUGCCUCUUCGUGAAAAAAAAACUGAGAAAGGUGUUAACGGUGAAAUUUUCUUUAAAAAA
rnacentral:sRNA from 1 species